rnacentral:rRNA from 1 species
CGCAUGAAAGAAGUUUAAAAGGCGGCGUAAAGCUGUCGCUAAAGGGAUGGACCUGCGAUGCAUUAGCUAGUUGGUAAGGUAACGGCUUACCAAGGCGAUGAUGCAUAGCCGAGUUGAGAGACUGAUCGGCCACAUUGGGACUGAGACACGGCCCAAACUCCUACGGGGAGGCAGCAGUAGGGAAAUCUUCCACAAUGGACGAAAGUCUGAUGGAGCAACGCCGCGUGAGUGAAGAAGGUUUUCGGAUCGUAAAGCUCUGUUGUUGGUGAAGAAGGAUAGAGGUAGUAACUGGCCUUUAUUUGACGGUAAUCAACCAGAAAGUCACGGCUAACUACGUGCCCAGCAGCCGCGGGUAAU